UUGGUCGCCGAACGUAGCCACGGUCACGAGAUAAACGUUUUGCCUAAUGGAGGUCUGGAGUGGUUGUAUGGGUUUUCCGAGAAGUGUGAUUGUGGCGGCAUGCGGCCUGGAGAGCGGGCCUAGCUACGUGUGAGGUUGCCUCGGAGGUGUCGAUACAAUGGGACAUACAUUGUAUCAUAACCAAACUCCAGGUAGAAACUGCCUAGCAACAGCGUUCGGAACUUCUCGAUACUUCUAACGAGUGCGUAUCGAAUUGCAGACAAGGCUGGCAUUCGUGCGAUUGCCUUGGAGAGUGACACAUCGAACAUUUUCGUCAAUCGUAUUUUGCGCGUAAGAUUAUUUUUUACGCUUAGUAGAAACGGCUUCGUUGGCCGUGAAUUCGUUUGAACCCAACAAAAACAUUGUUAAUAGUGUUCAUUAAAUUCAUUAUUCGUAAAUCAUAUUAUUCAUUAAUCCUACUAUUCGUUAAGCUCAUUAUUCAUUAGACUUAUUAUCUGUUAAACUUAAUUAUUCGUACAAUUUAUUAUUCACUAACUUCAUUGUUCAUCAAAUUUAUUAUUCAUUAGACUUAUUAUUUGUUAAGCUUUGUGAUAGUCUUGUAUAUACGUGUACAUAUGAUCUCGGCUUUGUGAAACGAUGGCUAGUCCACGCGAAGAGUUGUCACGCGCCCAAAAUUCCGAUUUUAACCCGACAUCAGAAGUGGGAUCAGAACCGCUUAAAGUGAUACAAGAACAGAUGGCCUUUAUGCGCGAGUUAAUUCAAACGCUAGUGCAAAAGCCGACGGAGCAAGUGCCGAGUGCGGAACCUGUGAGUCUAGCGUUACCACGUUUUAACCCCGAAGCCGCGGGCGCCGACUCGGCUGCGUAGUGCGCGAUCGUUAGUGUGAUUAUGGAAAAAAGGCCUCUACAAGACGACGAGUUAUAUCUCGCUAUAAGUCGUGCUCUAGAGGGUACAGCAGUACAGUGGUUUACGCAAGUUCCGGUCAGUGGUCUUACUUGGACACGGAACAUUUUCUUGCGCGUUAUGGUGGCACGGAGACGGCAACCUCAUUGCUAAUGAGGAUAUUCAACGAACAACCACUGAAGGACGAAACCACGGGGACUUUUGGUAAUCGUCUUCGCUCCCUUCUGUCGGCGAAAUGGGGAGAUCCAAUCCACGCCGAAUUAAUCAACGCUGUCGUCCUCCUACGACUGAUUUCGCAUGACCAGCGUGUCGAACGGAUAGCACUUACGAAUGAUAUCCAGACUUAGGAUCAAUUCUAUAAGGAAAUGAGAGCUCUCUCUUACGCGAGGAAGAGACCGGUACCUUCGUCAAAUAAUCCACCGGCAGAACCAGAAGCUAAACGAAGCACAGGCCGUCAGUUUUUCGGAUUAAGUCUGUGGCGGAUCGGUAUCAAUAGGACGCAGACAGGUCGAGGCAUCAACGCGGCGCAACACCUCCCGGGCGAUCCGCUGGUACCAACCGCCAACACUAGAGGGUUACGACGCCAACGAGUCUGUCUAACUCGCUAGCGGUCGAAUAUACGAGCGAUUGAUACAAAUACCGCACCUAGCGAGACUCCCUCUACGUCUAAGGCAGGGACUACCGGGCAUAGCCUUACUGACGAGUCCACCGGUAGUCCCGGGACGAAACGCACAACUCUCUUUUCAUCCGCCACAAGCGCUACCGCUGUGGUGCUUCCGGACAUAGGAGAACGGAGUGUCACGCGAAAACCCCAAACUAGGAAGGAGCAGGAUAUACGAAAUCCAAAGGAAAAACGACCAGCCGCAUCGUCGAAGGUGACUUGCUUCAAAUGCCAUGAGGAGGGACAUAUCGCGUCUAAUUGUCCAUCAUUGCGGAAAAGAAGCCACGAUUCUGUCACGUAAAGUUGGUACUUGGGUUGUAGUAAGAAGGCUGAGUCGUAACCCAACUACUAAUUUUCCUUUAUAAAACUUUAUUAUAAAUGUUAACACUUACAAAAUAACACCGAACCGGAGAAAAGGGGUUGUAUGAAUACAGCAACUAGAAGAAGAACAGGAACUGCCCGAGCUGGGUGAAGUCUCGGUUUAUAUACGUUUUGGUUUUAGGAUGUUAAGGGGCUAGGUGUAGGUUAUGAUGUGGAAAAGUGUCUGAAGAUCGGGGGUCCAUAUCCUAUCUCUGAUGUGGACUAAGGUGCGUCACAGUCUUGGUGUAUGCUAUGGUGUUAAGGUGGUGAUGUGUCCAAAAGUGUCCGAAGGUCGGCGGUCGAUGUCUUAUCACUGAUGUAAGUUGAGAUGUGAUUGAUGUCACAAUUCCAUUGACGAACACCGGAUCGACUCCUGUGUAGUGGAAGCUCCGGCUGGUAGAUUAAGCCAUCUGAGUACACCCGAGGACGUGUGACAGUCAGGACGGCCGUGUCGGGGAUGAAAGGAAAGCCGAAGCCUUUCCUUGGAAAUUUUUUGAACAUCCUCUAGUACUUUAGCCUAGAUUUUAUCAUAGCCGUAAUUGUUUAAAAUUUGUGAUAGCGAGAUUGGAUUCGAGGUGACAAUUGGUCGCCGAACGCAGCCACCGUCACGAGAUGAACGCUUUGCCUAACGGAGGUCUGGAGUGCUUGUAUAGGUUUUUCGAGAAGUGUGAUUGUGGCGGCAUGCGGUCUCGAGAGCGGGCCUAGCCACGUGUGAGGUUGCCACGGAGGUGCCGAUACAAUGGGACAUACAUUGUAUCAAUAAUCAAAUUCCAGGCAGAGGCUGCCUAACAAUGGGCGUUUGGAACCUUCUCAAUGCUUCCAAACGAGUAUACAAAAACCAAAGGCAAUCGUACGGCGAGAAAAAUCUCCACGAGGCAGGCAUUCGUGCGAUUGCCUUGGAGAGUGACACAUCGAGCAUUUUCGUCAAUCGUAUUUUCGCCUAAGAUUGUUUUUUACGCUUAGUAAAGAGUUACUUCGUUGGCCGUGAAUUCGUUUGAACCCAACAAAAACAUUGUUAAUAGUGUUCAUUAAAUUCAUUAUUCGUAAAUCAUAUUAUUCAUUAAUCCUACUAUUCGUUAAGCUCAUUAUUCAUUAGACUUAUUAUCUGCUAAACUUAAUUAUUCGUACAAUUUAUUAUUCACUAACUUCAUUGUUCAUCAAAUUUAUUAUUCAUUAGACUUAUUAUUUGUUAAGCUUUGUGAUAGUCUUGUAUAUACGUGUACAUAUGAUCUCGGCUUUAUGAAACGAUGGCUAGUCCACGCGAAGAGUUGUCACGCGCCCAAAAUUCCGAUUUUAACCCGACAUAUAUUAAUACAUACAUUUCAUGAACUGUAUGUACAUAUGGAAAUUGAUUCUGAAUGAAAUAUGGAAGUUUCAAUUUUCAUUGGUCACACAUAAAAGGAGAAAUAAUAAAAACUACGAAGAUAGUUGUUUUAAUCAUUCUUUUGCUUCUCUCUUUAUUAAGGAUAACUUUUUAACGCCGCCUGAAACUAGGCAAGCUUACCUCAGGUCGCGAAAAUCAUCAGUCAUGAGAGAGAAAAUAAUGAUUUUUCUUAUUUUUCUUUGAAAGCAUUGUUCCUAAAAAAAAAUAAAGAAAUAUACACAUAUAUAUAUAUAUAUAUAUAAAUAUAUAUAAAUAUAUGUAAACAUAUAUAUAAAUAUAUAUAUAUAUAAAUAUAGAUAAAUAUAUAUUUAUAUUUAUAUAUAUAUUUAUAUAUAUAUAUAUAUGGUGUGUGAUUGAGUGUGUGUGUGUAAUAUAUGCACACAUAUAUAUAUUUGUCCAACAUAUAUGAGUACUUCUUAGUAUGAAAUAAUAAUUGCACUCGUAAUUUGAAAAAAUAUAAACACCCACCAUAAUGAAAGGGUGAAUUCAUUUGAAAAGGAAGGUAUAUCAAAUAAUGUUAAUAUGUGUCCUAUUAUGAAAUCAGCUGUUUAUAAUUCUCUAAUUCGGUUUUCUUUUUUUGGCUCCUUUUUUAAAUGUGAAAUUAUUUAUAAUUUUAAGAAGGAACUUUCUCACGACUAAAGACUCUCGGAUCGAGCGUGUAUCCACGAUACGCAAGCUCCUCGGCAUGCGCGUGAAAUACAAAUGCACGUCUUGCAAACGAUGAUAAUAAUAAUAAUAAUAAUAAUAAGUAUACACUCUCCACGAAUCGUCGCUUCUGUUCAAGUCCUUAAGAAUAAAUUUAUUUACAUCGCGGACACGGUAUUUUAUUCUUCGGUUAUCUCCCGUUCGUCCUUUUAAAAAAAUUCUCCAUCUUUUACGUCGAUCGAACUCGUAUAAUAUGUUCCUUUCCAUUUUAUUUACUUUUCUUCUUCGAAGAAAGAAACGGAAGUAACCUGUUCUCUAAAGAAACAUAGUAGUUUUCGUCCUAAUCGAGGAUUUAUAGCUAAAUUUAGUCUAAUAAUUUUCAAACGAGCCCGUUUCGCUCUCCGAAAAAAUUCGAUCGACAAACAAAUUAUUUAGUCGAUAAAACAAUGCCGUGCGUUCCGACGUUAUUUCAUUCGAAAUUCUACAUGAUCAAUUGUUUUCUUUUUCUUUCUCACUCGUUCUCUGUUUCGCUCUGUAAUUCAAUCUUGGUAAAUAGCGAAACAGUUGCGUUACAAUUAUUACGCGUUAUUCGCUGAACUGGAAACAAUUAGCAAUAAACGUCGUCUUUGUACCACAUAGCCAAGAGAAUACUAAAAAUUUCAUCUAUUCUUCUCUUAAGGAUUAGAAGGAGAAACAUGCUACAAAUGAGAAGAAAAUGCUCUCGGUGCGAACGCUCUCUUUGUGAGGCAAUAACAUAUACUUAAACUGUGUAUAAUUGUAAUACUCUAUAAGUAGAACUUUGAAUUACUCUCGGCUAUGGAUUAAAGUCGACACGAUAAAAUAGGCUCGUCAUUCUUACCUAUCGUGUAAUAAGAAUGAAAAAUAUUCUUACAAUAUUAUUCGACGAACGACGAAGCGGAUGAUAUUUUAUCGCGCCGAAAAUCGUCUUGGAACAUUUAUUGCUAACAUACAAUUUUGUUUUUUUUCUCUCUCUCUUUUGUUUCGUUGAACAAACGUGUCAAAGGCAUAUUUGACAAUAGUUGAAAUACGAUUCACGAAUCUAAGUUUACAUCUGAUCGGCUUAUCAUUUAUAGUCAAUAAAUACAUGUUUUUCUCCGUACACGUUUUCGAACUCGGAGUGCAAUCUUCGAUAUGCACAAUAAAAGAAGAACGAUGAAGAAAUGGCUAUGCGUGAAUUGUUUCAAAAAUUCACAAACGACAGAGGUGGAUCACCGUUUUGCGUUCUUAUUGUUUACAAUUAUCAAUGUGUCGUAUUAUUAUAAUUACCAUUAUUUAAAUGUUAAUUGAUAUUAAUAUUAUUAUUACUAUAGCUGCUCGUUUUUAAGAUAACGCAACAAAUGCUCGGGUAUGAAAUACGCGUGAAAAUCAGUGAUAACAUUUUUCUUUUUUUUUUAAAUCGAUACAGUACGCACGGCCGUUCGCAAAUAUAUUUGAUAAUAUAAUUCUAUUAUCGGUUUCUCUUAAAAAAUAAUACCUACAGAGAAUAGAGUCGAGUAUUAACUGUGUGUUCGCUAAAUAUACGCAUGGUUCCUUUAUCUUUUGAACGAGUGAAGAUAAUUAAUGGAAUCUUUCGUGUAUUACCAUUGCGCGUACUGCAACUUGUACCAUUACUCUGUAUUUUUUUCAUUUUAAUAUUUCUUACAUUGUGUGGUGUAACGCGAUUGUAUAACCGUAGUGUGUCGAGUCAUUCAUUUGGUUUAUUUUGGCAUACAAAAUAAUUUUAUUUACAGUCUGACAAUAAUAUUAAUCGUUUAUCUAUAGUCCUUUAUGCUAAGUGGCGAUAGUAUAAUUCGAAUUACUUACUAUAUUAUGCGGUUUUUUCGGCUAUGUACAUAACAAAACGGCACGAAUAAAUAUCAUUGGACAUGGACCAAGUUUUUCUUUCAGUGUGCAUGCUCACCGCUUCGCACAAACGAUUCGUUUCUUAGGGACAUUCGAACCUGUAGAAAAUUCAUCUUUGAAGAACAAUCGAUGGAGGUGGGAUACUAAAAGUAUGUACAAUUUGUACCAUUAACAUCUAUGGAACUACGGCGUUCUACGUUUUGAUCAUUGAAACGGAACAUUUACUCUAAGAUCUUGAUUGAUUCAAGGAAAAGAAAGAAAAAAAUAGUAUGAAGAUGCGGUAAGAAACGAAACUUUGUUAAAUGCAUCGUGAACGUAACAAAACUGAAAUGAUCAACUGAAACAAUGACAAUGAAAGUGUACUAUUGAAUAAUAAAGUUCUUUCGCAACAUCGAUAAGAACGUCGCACAAAGCAUUCGUGAUCCGGAAUUCACUGAACAGCAAAGAAAAACUUGUUACCUAAAAUGUAAAACGUACAAAGAUCAUUCUAUAUCCGACUCAUUCGAGCUUCAAAUCUGUUUAAUCACGUCUCUCCCUGUCUAACGAAUCGAUCGACGAUUAAUUUGAUAAUUGUGAAAUUUACGAUGCAUUGUCUCGCGUUCUUCGAUGCAAAUAAAAACAUGGCAGUUGAAUGGAAUAACAAAUGGAAAGUUGGAAAAAGGUAUUAUUUAGCCCUCGAAACGAAAUCACAAGUUCGACUUACAUUGUAUAGGCUCAUGAUUCAAAAUGUAUUAUUCAUUAGUUCCAAUGAACGAUAUAUGCAUGAAAAAAUGAAGACGAUUAAAUUUAAAUAUCGUGAACGAUAUAUUACUCGUUUUCGUAAGAUAGAUGCAAAAUAUCGGUACGAUAUUUGUUAUAAAAAAUCGGAAAUCUGAGAUCGAUCCUGAGGGCUAUGUUACCAUAAGACGUAUUCUUUCGAUUAUUUGCACAUAGAAAAUUAAAAGAAUUCGUCUUAUAUUUCUACAAGAUAGUAUAAAAAAGAAGGGGGGGAGGGGGGAAAAGGAAAGAAUAAAAAGCGAUGUUGUACAGAUCGCAAGUAAAAUGAAAAUCGCGUAAUCCAAUGAUCAAGGACGAAGUGAAAUUCCCUUUCUCCUUAACUUACUGCGUAUUUAAUUUGACCUGAGUAAGAUUAAUUAUUUUCCUUUCUUUUGCGUUUUUCGUUCUUUUCUCUAGUCGAAAGCAUAAAUCGCUGAUCGAUUUACGUUAAACUUUGGUUAACGUUAAGGCGUCAAGCUUGCGUCUUUUUGUGAAUUCUCAUCUUCGAUGCAGCCAUAUAUGAAGAACUGUUAUAAGAAUUAUUCCCUUCUUAUCGUAAACUUUGGAUAGAAUGCUGCAACGGAUGAAGCAGACAGCUAACGAACAUCUAUUCUCCUCUUGAUCAUCUGGGACGACUGUGAGAAACGAGGACGACGAUGAAAGCUGCAUUGCUUUGGAAUCUCAACGCAGUUUCAAGGACGAAGAAGCAAAACGAGGUGAAUUUUCCCCUUUCAGGAUGGAUAUCAAUCAGGUUACUUCGGAGCACUUCCUGAAGAGACUUUUACCGACAUCCUCUUCUACUGAUGUCCGGAUACUACGACGUGUGAGACUGCUGAGACUGUGACAGCUUGCUGGAACUUUUGUGAUGGCUAGACGUGUGUUUCUCCUGAAAAUACAAAGAGAACUGUGGUACUCCAAUCCUCAAAAGAAAUUGUUUUAAAAAACUAAUAAUAAAUUGAUCGAUAUUUAUCCAGUUUCGUCGAAAUAAAAUCAAGUAAAUUCUCUAUUUCCUUGGUAGAAUGUUUCAGAAUUAUUUGAUGUUGUUGGUUUACUCCUUAUUUGAUCAUUAAACGCUGAAAUUUCUUUCCGUUA